UGCCAGCCGCCGCGGUAAUACGGAGGGUGCGAACGUUAAUCGGAAUUACUGGGCGUAAAGCGCACGUAGGCGGUUUGUUAAGUGGGAUGUGAAAUCCCCGGGCUCAACCUGGGAAUUGCAUUUCAAACUGACAGACUAGAGUGUAGUAGAGGGAGGUGGAAUUUCCUGUGUAGCGGUGAAAUGCGUAGAUAUAGGAAGGAACACCAGUGGCGAAGGCGGCUUUCUGGACCGAUACUGACGCUGAGACGCGAAAGCGUGGGGAGCAAACAGGAUUAGAUA
rnacentral:rRNA from 1 species